rnacentral:tRNA from 1 species
CAUUAAGAAGCUAAAUAGAAAACAGCAUUAGCCUUUUAAGCUAAAGAUUGGUGACUCUCGCCCACCCUUAACGA